AGUGCUCCAGGCCUGCUUGGUGUGGACAUGGUGGUGAGCCGUGGCAAGGACCAGAAUGGAUCACAGAUGAUCGUUGGCCAACAGGUGGCAGAAGAGGAAUUCCUGCCUUCCUCAAGAGGAACACCUACCCCUUGGCUAAUGCUGGGGUCGGAUUUUGAUUUAUAUUUAUCUUUUGGAUGUCAGUCAUACAGUCUGAUUUUGUGGUUUGCUAGUGUUUGAAUUUAAGUCUUAAGUGACUAUUAUAGAAAUGUAUUAAGAGGCUUUAUUUGUAGAAUUCACUUUAAUUACAUUUAAUGAGUUUUUGUUUUGAGUUCCUUAAAAUUCCUUAAAGUUUUUAGCUUCUCAUUACAAAUUCCUUAACCUUUUUUUGGCAGUAGAUAGUCAAAGUCAAAUCAUUUCUAAUGUUUUAAAAAUGUGCUGGUCAUUUUCUUUGAAAUUGACUUAACUAUUUUCCUUUGAAGAGUCUGUAGCACAGAAACAGUAAAAAAUUUAACUUCAUGACCUAAUGUAAAAAAGAGUGUUUGAAGGUUUACACAGGUCCAGGCCUUGCUUUGUUCCCAUCCUUGAUGCUGCACUAAUUGACUAAUCACCUACUUAUCAGACAGGAAACUUGAAUUGCUGUGGUCUGGUGUCCUCUAUUCAGACUUAUUAUAUUGGAGUAUUUCAAUUUUUCGUUGUAUCCUGCCUGCCUAGCAUCCAGUUCCUCCCCAGCCCUGCUCCCAGCAAACCCCUAGUCUAGCCCCAGCCCUACUCCCACCCCGCCCCAGCCCUGCCCCAGCCCCAGUCCCCUAACCCCCCAGCCCUAGCCCCAGUCCCAGUCCUAGUUCCUCAGUCCCGCCCAGCUUCUCUCGAAAGUCACUCUAAUUUUCAUUGAUUCAGUGCUCAAAAUAAGUUGUCCAUUGCUUAUCCUAUUAUACUGGGAUAUUCCGUUUACCCUUGGCAUUGCUGAUCUUCAGUACUGACUCCUUGACCAUUUUCAGUUAAUGCAUACAAUCCCAUUUGUCUGUGAUCUCAGGACAAAGAAUUUCCUUACUCGGUACGUUGAAGUUAGGGAAUGUCAAUUGAGAGCUUUCUAUCAGAGCAUUAUUGCCCACAAUUUGAGUUACUUAUCAUUUUCUCGAUCCCCUGCCCUUAAAGGAGAAACCAUUUCUCUGUCAUUGCUUCUGUAGUCACAGUCCCAAUUUUGAGUAGUGAUCUUUUCUUGUGUACUGUGUUGGCCACCUAAAACUCUUUGCAUUGAGUAAAAUUCUAAUUGCCAAUAAUCCUACCCAUUGGAUUAGACAGCACUCUGAACCCCAUUUGCAUUCAGCAGGGGGUCGCAGACAACCCGUCUUUUGUUGGACAGUUAAAAUGCUCAGUCCCAAUUGUCAUAGCUUUGCCUAUUAAACAAAGGCACCCUACUGCGCUUUUUGCUGUGCUUCUGGAGAAUCCUGCUGUUCUUGGACAAUUAAAGAACAAAGUAGUAAUUGCUAAUUGUCUCACCCAUUAAUCAUGAAGACUACCAGUCGCCCUUGCAUUUGCCUUGAGGCAGCGCUGACUACCUGAGAUUUAAGAGUUUCUUAAAUUAUUGAGUAAAAUCCCAAUUAUCCAUAGUUCUGUUAGUUACACUAUGGCCUUUGCAAACAUCUUUGCAUAACAGCAGUGGGACUGACUCAUUCUUAGAGCCCCUUCCCUUGGAAUAUUAAUGGAUACAAUAGUAAUUAUUCAUGGUUCUGCGUAACAGAGAAGACCCACUUAUGUGUAUGCCUUUAUCAUUGCUCCUAGAUAGUGUGAACUACCUACCACCUUGCAUUAAUAUGUAAAACACUAAUUGCCCAUAGUCCCACUCAUUAGUCUAGGAUGUCCUCUUUGCCAUUGCUGCUGAGUUCUGACUACCCAAGUUUCCUUCUCUUAAACAGUUGAUAUGCAUAAUUGCAUAUAUUCAUGGUUCUGUGCAAUAAAAAUGGAUUCUCACCCCAUCCCACCUUCUGUGGGAUGUUGCUAACGAGUGCAGAUUAUUCAAUAACAGCUCUUGAACAGUUAAUUUGCACAGUUGCAAUUGUCCAGAGUCCUGUCCAUUAGAAAGGGACUCUGUAUCCUAUUUGCACGCUACAAUGUGGGCUGAUCACCCAAGGACUCUUCUUGUGCAUUGAUGUUCAUAAUUGUAUUUGUCCACGAUCUUGUGCACUAACCCUUCCACUCCCUUUGUAUUCCAGCAGGGGACCCUUACUACUCAAGACCUCUGUACUAGGACAGUUUAUGUGCACAAUCCUAAUUGAUUAGAACUGAGUCUUUUAUAUCAAGGUCCCUGCAUCAUCUUUGCUUUACAUCAAGAGGGUGCUGGUUACCUAAUGCCCCUCCUCCAGAAAUUAUUGAUGUGCAAAAUGCAAUUUCCCUAUCUGCUGUUAGUCUGGGGUCUCAUCCCCUCAUAUUCCUUUUGUCUUACAGCAGGGGGUACUUGGGACUGUUAAUGCGCAUAAUUGCAAUUAUGGUCUUUUCCAUUAAAUUAAGAUCCCAACUGCUCACACCCUCUUAGCAUUACAGUAGAGGGUGCUAAUCACAAGGACAUUUCUUUUGUACUGUUAAUGUGCUACUUGCAUUUGUCCCUCUUCCUGUGCACUAAAGACCCCACUCACUUCCCUAGUGUUCAGCAGUGGAUGACCUCUAGUCAAGACCUUUGCACUAGGAUAGUUAAUGUGAACCAUGGCAACUGAUCACAACAAUGUCUUUCAGAUCAGAUCCAUUUUAUCCUCCUUGUUUUACAGCAAGGGAUAUUAAUUACCUAUGUUACCUUUCCCUGGGACUAUGAAUGUGCAAAAUUCCAAUGUUCAUGGUCUCUCCCUUUAAACCUAUAUUCUACCCCUUUUACAUUAUAGAAAGGGAUGCUGGAAACCCAGAGUCCUUCUCUUGGGACUCUUAAUGUGUAUUUCUAAUUAUCCAUGACUCUUAAUGUGCAUAUUUUCAAUUGCCUAAUUGAUUUCAAUUGUCUAAGACAUUUCAAAUGUCUAAUUGAUUAGAACUGAGUCUUUUAUAUCAAGCUAAUAUCUAGCUUUUAUAUCAAGCUAAUAUCUUGACUUCUCAGCAUCAUAGAAGGGGGUACUGAUUUCCUAAAGUCUUUCUUGAAUUUCUAUUAUGCAAAAUUGCCCUGAGGCCGGGUGUGGUGGCUCACACCUGUAAUCCCAGCACUUUGGGAGGCUGAGGUGGGAAGAUCCCUUACUGCCAGGAGUUUGAGACCAGCCUGGCCAACAUUAAAAAAAAAAAAAAGUAAGACAAUUGCCCUGGAAUCCCAUCCCCCUCACACCUCCUUGGCAAAGCAGCAGGAGUGCUAACUAGCUAGUGCUUCUUCUCUUAUACUGCUUAAAUGCGCAUAAUUAGCAGUAGUUGAUGUGCCCCUAUGUUAGAGUAGAAUCCCGCUUCCUUGCUCCAUUUGCAUUACUGCAGGAGCUUCUAACUAGCCUGAAUUCACUCUCUUGGACUGUUAAUGUGCAUACUUAUAUUUGCUGCUGUACUUUUUUACCAUGUAAGGACCCCACCCACUGUAUUUACAUCCCAGCUGGAAGUACCUACUACUUAAGACCCUUAGACUAGUAAAGUUAGCGUGCAUAAUCUUAGGUGUUAUAUACACAUUUUCAGUUGCAUACAGUUGUGCCUUUUAUCAGGACUCCUGUACUUAUCAAAGCAGAGAGUGCUAAUCAAUAUUAAGCCCUUCUCUUCGAACUGUAGAUGGCAUGUAAUUGCAGUUGUCAAUGGUCCUUCAAUUAGACUUGGGUUUCUGACCUAUCACACCCUCUUUGCUUUAUUGCAUGGGGUACUAUUCACUUAAGGCCCCUUUCUCAAACUGUUAAUGUGCCUAAUGACAAUUACAUCAGUAUCCUUCCUUUUGAAGGACAGCAUGGUUGGUGACACCUAAGGCCCCAUUUCUUGGCCUCCCAAUAUGUGUGAUUGUAUUUGUCGAGGUUGCUAUGCACUAGAGAAGGAAAGUGCUCCCCUCAUCCCCACUUUUCCCUUCCAGCAGGAAGUGCCCACCCCAUAAGACCCUUUUAUUUGGAGAGUCUAGGUGCACAAUUGUAAGUGACCACAAGCAUGCAUCUUGGACAUUUAUGUGCGUAAUCGCACACUGCUCAUUCCAUGUGAAUAAGGUCCUACUCUCCGACCCCUUUUGCAAUACAGAAGGGUUGCUGAUAACGCAGUCCCCUUUUCUUGGCAUGUUGUGUGUGAUUAUAAUCGUCUGGGAUCCUAUGCACUAGAAAAGGAGGGUCCUCUCCACAUACCUCAGUCUCACCUUUCCCUUCCAGCAGGGAGUGCCCACUCCAUAAGACUCUCACAUUUGGACAGUCAAGGUGCGUAAUUGUUAAGUGAACACAACCAUGCACCUUAGACAUGGAUUUGCAUAACUACACACAGCUCAACCUAUCUGAAUAAAAUCCUACUCUCAGACCCCUUUUGCAGUACAGCAGGGGUGCUGAUCACCAAGGCCCUUUUUCCUGGCCUGGUAUGCGUGUGAUUAUGUUUGUCCCGGUUCCUGUGUAUUAGACAUGGAAGCCUCCCCUGCCACACUCCACCCCCAAUCUUCCUUUCCCUUCCGGCAGGGAGUGCCCUCUCCAUAAGACGCUUACGUUUGGACAAUCAAGGUGCACAGUUGUAAGUGACCACAGGCAUACACCUUGGACAUUAAUGUGCAUAACCACUUUGCCCAUUCCAUCUGAAUAAGGUCCUACUCUCAGACCCCUUUUGCAGUACAGCAGGGGUGCUGAUCACCAAGGCCCCUUUUCUUGGCCUGUUAUGUGCGUGAUUAUAUUUGUCUGGGUUCCUGUGUAUUAGACAAGGAAGCCUUCCCCCCGCCCCCACCCCCACUCCCAGUCUUCCUUUCCCUUCCAGCAGGGAGUGCCCCCUCCAUAAGAUCAUUACAUUUGGACAAUCAAGGUGCACAAUUAUAAGUGACCACAGCCAUGCACCUUGGACAUUAUUGGACAUUAAUGUGCGUAACUGCACAUGGCCCAUCCCAUCUGAAUAAGGUCCUACUCUCAGAUGCCCUUUGCAGUACAGCAGGGGUACUGAAUCACCAAGGCCCUUUUUCUUGGCCUGUUAUGUGUGUGAUUAUAUUUAUCCCAGUUUCUGUGUAAUAGACAUGAAAGCCUCCCCUGCCACACCCCACCUCCAAUCUUCCUUUCCCUUCCACCAGGGAGUGUCCACUCCAUAUACCCUUACAUUUGGACAAUCAAGGUGCACAAUUGUAAGUGAGCAUAGGCACUCACCUUGGACAUGAAUGUGCAUAACUGCACAUGGCCCAUCCCAUCUGAAUAAGGUCCUACUCUCAGACCCUUUUUGCAGUACAGCAGGGGUGCUGAUCACCAAGGCCCCUUUUCCUGGCCUGUUAUGUGUGUGAUUAUAUUUGUUCCAGUUCCUGUGUAAUAGACAUGGAAGCCUCCCCUGCCACACUCCACCCCCAAUCUUCCUUUCCCUUCUGGCAGGAAGUACCCGCUCCAUAAGACCCUUACAUUUGGACAGUCAAGGUGCACAAUUGUAUGUGACCACAACCAUGCACCUUGGACAUAAAUGUGUGUAACUGCACAUGGCCCAUCCCAUCUGAAUAAGGUCCUACUCUCAGACCCCUUUUGCAGUACAGUAGGUGUGCUGAUAACCAAGGCCCCUCUUCCUGGCCUGUUAACGUAUGUGAUUAUAUUUGUCUGGGUUCCAGUGUAUAAGACAUGGAAGCCUCCCCUGCCCCACCCCACCCUCAAUCUUCCUUUCCCUUCUGGCAGGGAGUGCCAGCUCCAUAAGAACCUUACAUUUGGACAGUCAAGGUGCACAAUUCUAAGUGACCGCAGCCAUGCACCUUGGUCAAUAAUGUGUGUAACUGCACACGGCCUAUCUCAUCUGAAUAAGGCCUUACUCUCAGACCCCUUUUGCAGUACAGCAGGGGUGCUGAUAACCAAGGCCCAUUUUCCUGGCCUGUUAUGUGUGUGAUUAUAUUUGUCCAGGUUUCUGUGUACUAGACAAGGAAGCCUCCUCUGCCCCAUCCCAUCUACGCAUAAUCUUUCUUUUCCUCCCAGCAGGGAGUGCUCACUCCAUAAGACCCUUACAUUUGGACAAUCAAGGUGCACAAUUGUAAGUGACCACAACCAUGCAUCUUGGAAAUUUAUGUGCAUAACUGCACAUGGCUUAUCCUAUUUGAAUAAAGUCCUACUCUCAGACCCCCUUUGCAGUAUAGCUGGGGUGCUGAUCACUGAGGCCUCUUUGCUUGGCUUGUCUAUAUUCUUGUGUACUAGAUAAGGGCACCUUCUCAUGGACUCCCUUUGCUUUUCAACAAGGAGUACCCACUACUUUUUAAGAUUCUUAUAUUUGUCCAAAGUACAUGGUUUUAAUUGACCACAACAAUGUCCCUUGGACAUUAAUGUAUGUAAUCACCACAUGGUUCAUCCUAAUUAAACAAAGUUCUACCUUCUCACCCUCCAUUUGCAGUAUACCAGGGUUGCUGACCCCCUAAGUCCCCUUUUCUUGGCUUGUUGACAUGCAUAAUUGCAUUUAUGUUGGUUCUUGUGCCCUAGACAAGGAUGCCCCACCUCUUUUCAAUAGUGGGUGCCCACUCCUUAUGAUCUUUACAUUUGAACAGUUAAUGUGAAUAAUUGCAGUUGUCCACAACCCUAUCACUUCUAGGACCAUUAUACCUCUUUUGCAUUACUGUGGGGUAUACUGUUUCCCUCCAAGGCCCCUUCUGGUGGACUAUCAACAUAUAAUUGAAAUUUUCUUUUGUCUUUGUCAGUAGAUUAAGGUCAUACCCCAUCACCUUUCCUUUGUAGUACAACAGGGUGUCCUGAUCAACCAAAGUCCUGUUGUUUUGGACUGUUAAUAUGUGCAAUUACAUUUGCUCCUGAUCUGUGCACUAGAUAAGGAUCCUACCUACUUUCUUAGUGUUUUUAGCAGGUAGUGCCCACUACUCAAGACUGUCACUUGGAAUGUUCAUGUGCACAAACUCAAUUCUCUAAGCAUGUUCCUGUACCACCUUUGCUUUAGAGCAGGGGGAUGAUAUUCACUAAGUGCCCCUUCUUUUGGACUUAAUAUGCAUUAAUGCAAUUGUCCACCUCUUCUUUUAGACUAAGAGUUGAUCUCCACAUAUUCCCCUUGCAUCAGGGGCAUGUUAAUUAUGAAUGAACCCUUUUCUUUUAAUAUUAAUGUCAUAAUUGUAUUUGUGGACCUGUGUAGGAGAAAAAGACCCUAUGUUCCUCCCAUUACCCUUUGGAUUGCUGCUGAGAAGUGUUAACUACUCAUAAUCUCAGCUCUUGGACAAUUAAUAGCAUUAAUAACAAUUAUCAAGGGCACUGAUCAUUAGAUAAGACUCCUGCUUCCUCGUUGCUUACAUCGGGGGUACUGACCCACUAAGGCCCCUUGUACUGUUAAUGUGAAUAUUUGCAAUUAUAUAUGUCUCCUUCUGGUAGAGUGGGAUAUUAUGCCCUAGUAUCCCCUUUGCAUUACUGCAGGGGCUGCUGACUACUCAAAACUUCUCCUGGGACUGUUAAUAGGCACAAUGGCAGUUAUCAAUGGUUUUCUCCCUCCCUGACCUUGUUAAGCAAGCGCCCCACCCCACCCUUAGUUUCCCAUGGCAUAAUAAAGUAUAAGCAUUGGAGUAUUCCAUGCACUUGUCUAUCAAACAGUGGUCCAUACUCCCAACCCUUUUGCAUUGCGCCAGUGUGUAAAAUCACAGGUAGCCAUGGUGUCAUGCUUUAUAUACGAAGUCUUCCCUCUCUCUGCCCCUUGUGUGCCCUUGGCCCCUUUUUACAGACUAUUGCUCACAAUCUCAGGUGUCCAUAUUUGCAGCUAUUAGGUAAGAUUGUGCUGUCUCCCUCUUCCCUUCCCUCUGCCCUGCCCCUUUUGCCUCUUUGCUGGGUAAUGUUGACCAGACAAGGCCCUUUCUCUUGGACUUAAACAAUUCUCAGUUGCACUUUCCUUGGUCCCACCCAUUAUACAUGAACCCCUCUACUUCCUUUCGCAUUGCUUCUGAGUAUGCUGACUACCCAAAGCCCCUUCUGUGUUAUUAAUAAACACAGUACUGAUUGUCCCAUUUUUCAGCCCAUCAGUCCAAGAUCUCCCUACCACUUUGGUGUGUUGGUGCAGUGUUGACUAUGAAAAGCAGGCCUGAACUAGGAUGUCAAAAGAUCGGCCCAGCUCAGGGAGCAGUUUGCCCUACUAGCUCCUCGGACAGCUGUAAAGAAGAGUCUCUGGCUCUUUAGAAUACUGAUCCCAUUGAAGAUACCACGCUGCAUGUGUCCUUAGUAGUCAUGUCUCCUUAGGCUCCUCUUGAUCUUCCUCAGAAGAAUAGGCUUGUUGUUUUACAGUGUUAGUGAUCCAUUCCCUUUGACGAUCCCUAGGUGGAGAUGGGGCAUGAGGAUCCUCCAGGGGAAAAGCUCACUACCACUGGGCAACAACCCUAGGUCAGGAGGUUCUGUCAAGAUACUUUCCUGGUCCCAGAUAGGAAGAUAAAGUCUCAAAAACAACCACCACACGUCAAGGAGAACAUGGACAACUGUCACAUCAGUGACAUUGAUCACAUGGGCAAAUCAUUCUGUUCCAUGUGGUCCCCAAAGUCUCUCUUAAAGCCUUACAGAAGAACUUUGCCAAUCAUUUACAUACUUCAGGAUGGCUUGGGAUGCCAUGGUGUAUAAUACAACAAGUGAGAGCUCUUCAUUGUUCCUAUCUGCCAAAUCAUUAUACUUCCUACAAGCAGUGCAGAGAGCUGAGUCUUCAGCAGGUCCAAGAAAUUUGAACACACUGAAGGAAGUCAGCCUUCCCACCUGAAGAUCAACAUGCCUGGCACUCUAGCACUUGAGGAUAGCUGAAUGAAUGUGUAUUUCUUUGUCUCUUUCUUUCUUGUCUUUGCUCUUUGUUCUCUAUCUAAAGUGUGUCUUACCCAUUUCCAUGUUUCUCUUGCUAAUUUCUUUCGUGUGUGCCUUUGCCUCAUUUUCUCUUUUUGUUCACAAGAGUGGUCUGUGUCUUGUCUUAGACAUAUCUCUCAUUUUUCAUUUUGUUGCUAUUUCUCUUUGCUCUCCUAGAUGUGGCUCUUCUUUCACGCUUUAUUUCAUGUCUCCUUUUUGGGUCACAUGCUGUGUGCUUUUUGUCCUUUUCUUGUUCUGUCUACCUCUCCUUUCUCUGCCUACCUCUCUUUUCUCUUUGUGAACUGUGAUUAUUUGUUACCCCUUCCCCUUCUCGUUCGUUUUAAAUUUCACCUUUUUUCUGAGUCUGGCCUCCUUUCUGCUGUUUCUACUUUUUAUCUCACAUUUCUCAUUUCUGCAUUUCCUUUCUGCCUCUCUUGGGCUAUUCUCUCUCUCCUCCCCUGCGUGCCUCAGCAUCUCUUGCUGUUUGUGAUUUUCUAUUUCAGUAUUAAUCUCUGUUGGCUUGUAUUUGUUCUCUGCUUCUUCCCUUUCUACUCACCUUUGAGUAUUUCAGCCUCUUCAUGAAUCUAUCUCCCUCUCUUUGAUUUCAUGUAAUCUCUCCUUAAAUAUUUCUUUGCAUAUGUGGGCAAGUGUACGUGUGUGUGUGUCAUGUGUGGCAGAGGGGCUUCCUAACCCCUGCCUGAUAGGUGCAGAACGUCGGCUAUCAGAGCAAGCAUUGUGGAGCGGUUCCUUAUGCCAGGCUGCCAUGUGAGAUGAUCCAAGACCAAAACAAGGCCCUAGACUGCAGUAAAACCCAGAACUCAAGUAGGGCAGAAGGUGGAAGGCUCAUAUGGAUAGAAGGCCCAAAGUAUAAGACAGAUGGUUUGAGACUUGAGACCCGAGGACUAAGAUGGAAAGCCCAUGUUCCAAGAUAGAUAGAAGCCUCAGGCCUGAAACCAACAAAAGCCUCAAGAGCCAAGAAAACAGAGGGUGGCCUGAAUUGGACCGAAGGCCUGAGUUGGAUGGAAGUCUCAAGGCUUGAGUUAGAAGUCUUAAGACCUGGGACAGGACACAUGGAAGGCCUAAGAACUGAGACUUGUGACACAAGGCCAACGACCUAAGAUUAGCCCAGGGUUGUAGCUGGAAGACCUACAACCCAAGGAUGGAAGGCCCCUGUCACAAAGCCUACCUAGAUGGAUAGAGGACCCAAGCGAAAAAGGUAUCUCAAGACUAACGGCCGGAAUCUGGAGGCCCAUGACCCAGAACCCAGGAAGGAUAGAAGCUUGAAGACCUGGGGAAAUCCCAAGAUGAGAACCCUAAACCCUACCUCUUUUCUAUUGUUUACACUUCUUACUCUUAGAUAUUUCCAGUUCUCCUGUUUAUCUUUAAGCCUGAUUCUUUUGAGAUGUACUUUUUGAUGUUGCCGGUUACCUUUAGAUUGACAGUAUUAUGCCUGGGCCAGUCUUGAGCCAGCUUUAAAUCACAGCUUUUACCUAUUUGUUAGGCUAUAGUGUUUUGUAAACUUCUGUUUCUAUUCACAUCUUCUCCACUUGAGAGAGACACCAAAAUCCAGUCAGUAUCUAAUCUGGCUUUUGUUAACUUCCCUCAGGAGCAGACAUUCAUAUAGGUGAUACUGUAUUUCAGUCCUUUCUUUUGACCCCAGAAGCCCUAGACUGAGAAGAUAAAAUGGUCAGGUUGUUGGGGAAAAAAAAGUGCCAGGCUCUCUAGAGAAAAAUGUGAAGAGAUGCUCCAGGCCAAUGAGAAGAAUUAGACAAGAAAUACACAGAUGUGCCAGACUUCUGAGAAGCACCUGCCAGCAACAGCUUCCUUCUUUGAGCUUAGUCCAUCCCUCAUGAAAAAUGACUGACCACUGCUGGGCAGCAGGAGGGAUGAUGACCAACUAAUUCCCAAACCCCAGUCUCAUUGGUACCAGCCUUGGGGAACCACCUACACUUGAGCCACAAUUGGUUUUGAAGUGCAUUUACAAGUUUCUGGCAUCACUACCACUACUGAUUAAACAAGAAUAAGAGAACAUUUUAUCAUCAUCUGCUUUAUUCACAUAAAUGAAGUUGUGAUGAAUAAAUCUGCUUUUAUGCAGACACAAGGAAUUAAGUGGCUUCGUCAUUGUCCUUCUACCUCAAAGAUAAUUUAUUCCAAAAGCUAAGAUAAAUGGAAGACUCUUGAACUUGUGAACUGAUGUGAAAUGCAGAAUCUCUUUUGAGUCUUUGCUGUUUGGAAGAUUGAAAAAUAUUGUUCAGCAUGGGUGACCACCAGAAAGUAAUCUUAAGCCAUCUAGAUGUCACAAUUGAAACAAACUGGGGAGUUGGUUGCUAUUGUAAAAUAAAAUAUACUGUUUUGAAAACUUUGUAUUUUGAUGUGACAAUUUCUAACUCACUGUCCCUAA
rnacentral:lncRNA from 1 species